GGACGAACGCUGGCGGCGUGCUUAACACAUGCAAGUCGAGCGGUAAGGCCCUUUCGGGGGUACGACGAGCGGCGAACGGGUGAGUAACACGUGGGUGACCUGCCCUUAGCUCUGGGAUAAGCCUGGGAAACUGGGUCUAAUACCGGAUAUGACUCCAUAACGCAUGUUGUGGGGUGGAAAGCCUUGUGCGGCUAGGGAUGGGCCCGCGGCCUAUCAGCUUGUUGGUGGGGUGAUGGCCCACCAAGGCGACGACGGGUAGCCGGCCUGAGAGGGCGACCGGCCACACUGGGACUGAGACACGGCCCAGACUCCUACGGGAGGGCAGCAGUGGGGAAUCUUGCGCAAUGGGCGAAAGCCUGACGCAGCGACGCCGCGUGGGGGAGUGACGG
rnacentral:rRNA from 1 species